rnacentral:rRNA from 1 species
AACGAACGCUGGCAGCAGGCUUAACACAUGCAAGUCGAGCGCCCCGCAAGGGGAGCGGCAGACGGGUGAGUAACGCGUGGGAAUCUACCUUUUGCUACGGAAUAACUCAGGGAAACUUGUGCUAAUACCGUAUGUGCCCUUCGGGGAAGGAUUAUCGGCAAAGGAUGAGCCCGCGUUGGAUUAGCUAGUUGGUGGGGUAAAGGCCACCAAGGCGACGAUCCAUAGCU